rnacentral:lncRNA from 1 species
ACUUUGCCUCAUAUGUCCUAAGUUUGUGCAUUUCAGAUUUUGUGGCUUGUGAAUUCUUGAUUUAAAGUGAAAUCUAAUGAUUUUCCUAGUUGAACCUUUGUACAAAAUUUCACUGUACUAAUGGGUUAUUGUUCCAACCUGAUGCCAUUUGGACAUUUUCCUCUGCUGUUGGUUCACUUGCACCUCCCAUGUCAAAUAGUUCAACCCUCUUAUUGCCAAGACUGCUCAUAUACGUUUUUCUCAAGGCCACAUACGAGUUUAGCUCUUUGAUCAUUAAUUGCUUCUCAUCAUUGAGUUGUUUGUUGAUCUCAGGAGGAUUUCUACUCUCCUCAUCUUUAAUUUCAGGAUCAAACUCUUUAAUUAACCUUUUACAUUCUCUCAUCUUCCCUGUAAGCUCUUCCAACUGUUUACUCUGUCUGUUCGAAUCCUGCAUAGCAGCAACGGAAAGAAUAGAGGUAACAGAAAGCAUCCAUUAACUGUAUCAAAGACCUAAAAUAAUAAUCAGAUAUUGAAGGAGCAGCAUCAGGUUUUUAGGAAUUCUUUUCUUGAGAUUCAAAUAACUAUUCAUUGGCCACAAUUUUCUUGAACUUUUAAAAAAUAAAAUUCCUUUUCAAAAACUUUGACUUAUUAAAAAUGUGGGUCUGUAGUACUUGUGCAUAGUUUCCAAAUAGAAGAAAUUUCCUUCUGAAGAAGUCAAUCUAAUCGAUGUCAAAAACCAACCCACGAAUUAGAAGGUUAGAAGUUUGAAUGACAAAUCAUGUCAAUCAAUUUUUGUAGAGUAACUUUAUCGACAAGUAACAGCCUAUGUAUACUGGGAUUGCAGCCCUGAGUCGGUCUGUGUAUACACAUUAUAUAAUGGACAAACCAAGCCAUGCAAAUCCAAAAGUUCAUUAACAGCAAAGCACAUAUCCAGCCUCCAAACAUUGUACACAAUCAAAUUCUAUGUGAUACAGCACCCAAGUUGAGAUAAAAAGAGAUGAAACUUUUCUCGGAACAGAAACCAGAGUGGAGAAAGAAAAAUUGGAGUUAACUCACGUUUUUCUCAAGGCCACAUAUGAGUUUAGCUCUUUGAUCUGCAAAAUUAAGCAAAUUUAGAACAGUAUUCCGUAGAAGUGGUAGGCAUAUUAUUAGUCCAGUAAAUGGACCAAACCAAAAUGUUAGUCUGGCAAAGACUACUGCUACUGUUACUACGCCACAGUCCCGAACACAUUGGGGUCCGCUAAGACAAUGCCCGAAAUUGAUAUUAGCACCCACUAUCUUGAUCCCUUCGUAACAACCUUUUUAUGGAGAUCCAAAGUGGAAAAGUGCAGCUUGUGAUUAGUAAGAGAAGAUGCACACCGAAAGACAAUAACAUAAUGGUUUUGAAGGAUGUGCCAAAGGAUUGGUCGCUUAAGUUUUAUGUGGAUUCACAGACAACUAGAUAGUACACUUGGAAGCAAAGAAAAUAUAAGGAAAGUGAAAAUAACCAAAACUAUAAUGCCGAAGUGCACAAAUCAUGAAAGUCUCAAUUCAAUUCCUGUAAAAAGCAUAAAAAUUUAUGUACAUUAGGAACUCAUUGCUUAUCCAGUAACUCUAAAAUUGAGAGUUUAGUAACAUAGAAUGUCCCUUCCAAAAGUAAACAAUGUUAAGUAAAUCAAAAGGGAUAAUUGUUUCUCCAUUCAAGGUAAUUGCACUUUUUGUAACUAUGGUAGGCUGAGACUGUGCGCUUAGUUUUGUUGGUUAACUAUUAUUUUACAAAUCUCACUCUUUGAUCAAAGCUUAUGUUCAGAACGACAGUGACCAUAGCGCAGCGCACAGGAAAAGGGAAAUGAAUGAAUCAAAAUUAGCAUAUGGUAUAGAAUAAACUAUGAUAAUCAACCAUUGGAAUGCAUGGGUAGCUUACCACUGCAAGCCCAAAUGGCAUUCCGACAAACCCCUUUACUUAAUAAGAGAUUCCAACUAACCAUU